rnacentral:rRNA from 1 species
AUGGCCCACAUAUCAGAUAUUAAACUGAUAAGAACAGAUACUACACUUGAUCUUAGCCAAAAGGCCGAGAAAGGUAUGAGUUGCAACCCACGCCACCCCUCCUUCUUAUAG